GAUGAACGCUGGCGGCGUGCCUAAUACAUGCAAGUCGAGCGAACAGACGAGGAGCUUGCUCCUCUGACGUUAGCGGCGGACGGGUGAGUAACACGUGGAUAACCUACCUAUAAGACUGGGAUAACUUCGGGAAACCGGAGCUAAUACCGGAUAAUAUAUUGAACCGCAUGGUUCAAUAGUGAAAGACGGUUUUGCUGUCACUUAUAGAUGGAUCCGCGCCGCAUUAGCUAGUUGGUAAGGUAACGGCUUACCAGGGCAACGAUGCGUAGCCGACCUAAGAGGGUGAUCGGCCACACUGGAACUGAGACACGGUCCAGACUCCUACGGGAGGCAGCAGUAGGGAAUCUUCCGCAAUGGGCGAAAGCCUGACGGAGCAACGCCGCGUGAGUGAUGAAGGUCUUCGGAUCGUAAAACUCUGUUAUUAGGGAAGAACAAAUGUGUAAGUAACUAUGCACGUCUUGACGGUACCUAAUCAGAAAGCCACGGCUAACUACGUG
rnacentral:rRNA from 1 species